CUCCUGCACUCUUGAACACUGAUUUGUGCUCGAGCUGCAUGAUCACAACAACACAGCCUGAAGCCACUGCCCAGUUUCCCAGAAUCCUCCUGCCUCUCUGUGUUACAGCUGAAAGUGAAAAUUGAAAGCAAAAAUAAUCCGUUACUGCGAUAGAGAGUCUCCGAAGGGAAGGUCACUUUCAAAUCUAAUUAUUAAAAGGCCUGAGACAAUUGUAUAUUUCUUUCAGAACAAUAGGAACUGGAGCUCAUACCACAAUUUUCAGAGUAUCCAGCCUUUGAAUGGCGUUUCUGUCUCUCUGGACAACAUCUCUGAACACUGGAAAGAUAAAAAACUUUUCUCAGCAGUCUGGACUGUAGUUCACACUGUAAACAUCCCGUCAGUAUAAAACCAGGUGAGUGUGAAUCUGCUGAAAGUGAGGCUCCCCUCACUACCACACUACAGCUGGAUAAUUCUCUAAGUGUCUGUUUCUGUGAAAUCUUACCCUCCAAAGUGUUACAUUUGCAAGUUAGUAGUAAAGGCUGCCCAUUAGAACAUGUCUUUAUCUUAGAACUGAAAUCUGACCUGAGUAGCUGUUUAUUUUAGAGAUGAGCAUUGAUCUAUCUGAGAUUUUUUUAAAGGUGAAAUGACAUUAGAGGGGUUUUAUUUGAAAUAUUACAUUUGAAAUAUCUGACUUUUUUCUAUUUCAUACGGUUCAUAUCAGACAAGAUGUUUUUAGAUUUUUGUGAUUAUCCCUGGCCCAGUCUGAGUAUUUCUAUACUUCUGAGUUGAAGUGUGACCAACCUGAAUGUUUCUGUAUUUCCAAGAUGAAUUCUUAUGAAUCAUAGUAUUUUCUCUUCUCUCUUUUAGAGAUGAAUUGUGACUGAUCAGUCUGUUUGUUCAUAUGAGAGAUUAAGUCUGCCAACUCAGAGUAUUAAUAAUAAUAGUAUCCCUAACCCCGCUGUCAAUAGAGGCUUUUCCUUCUCUGUUUCUGUUUCUUUUUUUCUUAAACCUUCCAAGCUGACCCCAUGCCUCACAUCGACGAUGACUACCAUUCAGUAACACUCCUUCAAACCCGCGCUGCUCCAUAGAAAGCAGAAAUGUUCUGUGAUUACAAAUAUCCCCUGUUCCUUGUGUCUCAUUCUCACUGCUGUCAAAUUACAGGUUCAAAUGACUUUAAAGUUUGAACCCGUCUUACGAUCUAAUUUCACUACUAGCUUUGACUUGAGGGGUCAAAAACAAAAGAAAUAUUUAUAAUAUAUGUCAAAUAUGAAGAAAAAAAGUCAUGAUAAAAUAAACCACAUACAGAUGCAGCCAUUCAAAGUGAGCGGUACAGACACGUACCGCAGGUAAUUGGCUGCGGUAUCGCGUAUCAUGACGCAAUAUGAUGUGGUGCGUGAUUGGUUGACCGACAGGGGCACUUGUGGUCCGUUGGUCUGUCGUAGAAAGACUUACUGUAAACGUCUUUACUGUGCCCGUUGUAGAUAUUGAAUUUUACAACUGAAGGGAAAUCUUAUUAGCUGAGCAUAAAAAGAAUAGGAGCAUACUGUAACG
rnacentral:lncRNA from 1 species